AUUGAACGCUGGCGGCAUGCCUUACACAUGCAAGUCGAACGGUAACGGGCCUUCGGGUGCCGACGAGUGGCGAACGGGUGGGUAAUGUAUCGGAACGUACCUUUCAGUGGGGGAUAACGUAGCGAAAGUUACGCUAAUACCGCAUAUUCUGUGAGCAGGAAAGCAGGGGAUCGCAAGACCUUGCGCUGAUUGAGCGGCCGAUAUCAGAUUAGCUAGUUGGUGAGGUAAAGGCUCACCAAGGCGACGAUCUGUAGCGGGUCUGAGAGAAUGAUCCGCCACACUGGAACUGAGACACGGUCCAGACUCCUACGGGAGGCAGCAGUGGGGAAUUUUGGACAAUGGGGGCAACCCUGAUCCAGCCAUGCCGCGUGAGUGAAGAAGGCCUUCGGGUUGUAAAGCUCUUUCGGCCGGGAAGAAAUCGUAUGGGUUAAUACCCUGUGCGGAUGACGGUACCGGCAUAAGAAGCACCGGCUAACUACGUGCCAGCAGCCGCCGCUGUAA
rnacentral:rRNA from 1 species